GCCCGGGGCCGCCUCCGCCUCCGCCGCCGCCGCCGCGCCUGCCGCUGCCAAACCCCUCCCACCCGGGCCCCGCGGCGAUGACUGGGCCACCCCCUGGCCUUCCUUCUCUCAGCCCUCAGGUCCCGAGAGCCCCGGCCCAGAGCGGCCUCUGCUGGACAGUCAAGACACGAGACCCUGGGUUCAGCAAAUGUUUGCAGCGCCUUGCACUGUGCUGGGAACUAGGGAUGCAAAGAAAUGUGAGCACAUCUCUGCCCUUAGGAAUCUAGCUCAGCUUUUCCUACAUGAGCUUACAGCCUUUAAAAAGGUGACCUUAUGCCAUUUUAGGAGUUCCCUCGGAGAACCGGCACAUGUUCCAAGAAUGAGGACCUUCUUCAUUUGUCAAAACACUUCUGCGUGUACAUCAUUAAACCCUCAUCCACAUUAAACCCGGCUGAGCUUCCUGGGGCCCGAACCAGGAUGUCUGCCGCUGCAUUCAGCUUCUUACUAGAAGAAAAUACUGUCGGGGGGAUAACUAAGCCAGACACCCUACUAGGCGUUGUUUCAUGAAUCCUUCUAAGAAUUAUUAUUAUUCCAUUUUACAGGUGAGAAAAUGAAGGCACAGAGAAGACAAUGUUCUCAAGGUCGCAUAACUGGUCUUUGGAUCAACUCUUUCAACCAAUUGCCAGUUGGAAAAUCUUUGAAUUCACCUAUGACCUGGAAGCUCCUAGUUUGAGUUGUCCUGCUUUUCCGGACCAAAACAAUGUACGUCUUACAUGUAUUGACUGAUGUCUUCUGUCUCCCUAAAACAUAUGAAACCAAGUCGUGUCCUGAACUACUUUGGGCACAUGCUCUCAGGAUCUCCUGAGGCUGUGUCAUGGACAUGUCCCUAACCUUGGCAAAAUAAACUUCUAAACUGAUGAAGACUUGUCUCAAAUACCUUUUGGUUUACAGCCCUGACAAUAUUUCGGGAAGGAAGAAACUCCUUCUUGGAUGUGACGCACAUAAUGAAAUCUUCUAUUUAAACUAGUGUAAAACUUAAUUGAGUUGAUCCAGUACUAUCCAAUAGAAAUAAAUUACAAGCCAUAUAGAAAUUUAAAAAUUUCUAGUAGACACAUUUUAAAAAAGUAAAACUAAGUUAUAUUAAUUUUAAUAAUAUGCUUUAAUGUAUCUAAAAUAUUAUUUUGACAGGUAAUAAAUAUAAAAAAUUGAGAUAUUUUACAUUAAAAAAAUUCAAAAUCUUCAAAUUCUAGUGUAUAUUUUAUACUUGUAGGAAAUCACAGUUCUGACAUGAAUUCAUCUCAAUUUCGAAUGUUCAAAAGCCAAACGUGGCUAGUAGCAAUCAUAAUGGACAGUGCAGUUUUAGAACCUGGACCUAGUCUUUUGCCAUGCCUCUGAAUAUGUUCUAUAAAAGUAAGAAACAGUGCUACUGAGGCUUUCUCAACUGACAGUACUGUGUAGUGGUUGAAAGCUUGAAACUUGCUGAUUGCAUGGACUGAGGCAACUUACUUAACCCCUCUAACCCUCAGUUUCCCAAUUUGUGAAAUGGAGAUGAUAAUAAUAAUCCAUUACUUCAAAGCGUUGUUUUAAGUAUUAAAUGCAUGGAAAUUAUUUGGAGUUGAACCUAGACAGAGUAGACUCUUAACAAAUAUUUGCUGUUAUUUUUGGUAGAAAUGAUUAUGAUGUUGAAAAAUUGUUAUUAACAGUAAAAUCAGACUGGACAUGGUGGCUCAUGUCUGUAAUCCCAGCCCUUUGGGAGGCCAAGGUGGGAGGACUACUUGAGCCCAGGAGUUCAAGACCAGCCUGGGCAACAGAGGGAGACCCUGACUCUACAAAACACAAAAAAAUUAGUCAGGUGUGGUGAUAUGUGCUGUGGUUCUAGUUACUCAGAAGGCUGAGAUGAGAGAAACACUUGAGUCCAGGAGGCUGAGGCUGCAGUGACCUGUGAUAGUGCUACUGCACUCCAGCCUUGACAACAGAGUGAGUACCUGUCUGAGGUGGGUGGAUCACGAGGUCAGGAGAUCCAGACCAUCCUGGCUAACACAGUGAAGCUCCAUCUCUACUAAAAAUACAAAAAAAAAAAAAAGUAGCCGGGCAUGGUGGCAGGCGCCUGUAGUCCCAGCUACUCGGGAGGCUGAGGCAGGAGAAUGGGGUGAACCCAGGAAGGGGAGCUUGCAGUGAGUCAAGAUCGCACCAGUGCACUCCAGUCUGGGUGACAGAGCGAGACUCCGUCUCAAAAAUAAAUAAAUAAAUAAAUAAAUUAAUUAAUUAAAUAAAAAUAAAAAUUAGUAAAUAAAAAAAAAUAGUAAAAUCAUGCCAAAUAUUUCUGUAAUAUUUGGAAGAAUUAGAUUCCUUACUACUCAAAGACACUGACAAUGUCCCUUAUCCUUAGAAAAUUUACAUAUGCAUAGUUUAGAGUAGCGUUUCUCAACCUUUUUGGUCUUAGGAUCCCUUUAUACCCCUAACACUUAUUAAGAACCUGCCCUCCCACUCCUGGCCAAACUGUUUAUUUAGGUUGAAGGAACAUUUUAAGAUCCCCUUCAGAUAAUUGUGAUCUGUCCUCUUUUAUACUACAUGAAUACUCAACAAGCAGUAGUUUCUUAAAAGUUUGGUGCAAUACAGAAUCCAAAAGCAUUUCAGUGUAAUUUUCAUAUUCUGUCAAAUUAAAAUCCAUUGAUCUAUCUUAUAUCUUGAAUAUAUCUUUUAUCCCUGCAUGAUUUUAUAUCAUAAUGCAUUGGUCACAUAGAAAAUAUUGGUUCACCAAGUUCAUUCAAAUUUUAACGUAUUUCGUUAUACAAUAUCAAAAAGUCACAUUUGUUAACAUCUUCACCUAUAUCAUCAGAAAAAUCUUUAAUCGUUGGAAACCAUCAAACUAAUAGUAAAAAAUACAAGUUUCCCAGAAUUCUGAUAUUCCCUUGAAAGCUUGAAUCUUAUUGGUACCAAAUAAUGUCAAUUAUUUUAUUUCCUUCCUUCCUUCCUACCGUCUUUCCUUCCUUUCUUCCUUCCUUCCUUCCUUCCUUCCUUCCCUCCUUCCUUCCUUCUUUCCUUCUCUUCUUCCUUUCUUUUGUUUGUUUUUAUUUUUCUUUUUAUUUUUUUUGAGACAGGGUCUUGCUCUGUCUCCCAGGAUCCAGGAUGGAGUGCAGUGGCAUGAUCAUGGCUCACUGUAGCCUCGAACUUCCUGCUUCAGCCUCCUGAGUAGCUGGAACUACAGGUGUGUAUCAUCAUGCCUAGCUAAUUUUUUUUUUUAAUGUUUUAUAGGGAUGGGGUCUCUGUGUGCUGCCCAGGCUGGUCUUGAAUUCCUGGGCUCGAGCAAUCCUUCAGACUCAGCCUCCCAAAGUGCUGGGAUUACAGGUGUGAGUCACUGCACCUGGCCAAAUUUGUUUUGUUUGACAUGACAUGCUAACUUCAUAGAGAAAAUGUCUCACAAAUACUGAAGCCUAAAUAACCAUAGUUUGUCUGUUAAUAAUGUUUUCAAAUGAAAAUAGUGUUUCAUAAAAAAGUGGCUAGGUUAGCUUUCAAUUCAUCACAUACAUACAUUUCCUUGGAACAACCACUUACUUUGGUAUUCAGCAAAAAUGCUUUAUGCAUACUUUUCAUUCAUUUAUAUGAAAAAGAUGUGUGUUCAAGAUCAAGAUUUUAUAAAAAUUAAGAAUUUUUGCUGCUUCAUUAAGGACAUUCAUAAGGACAUGAAUGGUGGUAAUACAAUGACUACUAGUAUAGUUUGGUGCCACUGCCUACAUUUGUGUUAAAGCACCAGAAGUUUUAUCCACAAUUGCUUUUGUAGCAUCAAUGGAAAAAUCAAAAUGCAAAAAAAGAGAUAAAUAACAUCUUAGUAAUAUUAUGAAAAUAGCUUUGACUCCACAGAUGUAAAAGGAUCAGACUCCUAGGAGUUUGUGAACCACACUUUGAGAACUGCUGGCCUAGAGAAAUAUCUUAGAAAAUUGUGAAGGACAUUAACUGUUUCAACUGCCUAGAGUAUCCCUUUCUUCAGGUAAGUGUUCUUUCCUCUGCUUUAAGCAACUAGUUUCAAUGGCGGUGGCUAUUUUCCUAUGGAGGCUGCCUCCUACCCUAUGGGUGACUGGUAUAGGGUAGACACCAGCCUCUUUAUAUUCAGUAUACUUUCUCAGAAUUCUUAAACUUGGAACCAGAAAAUGUCACUAAUAGUUGCUCUCUGGGAACAAAGUUAUGAAGUUCUGGCAUUUUGGUGAACCACCCAAGCAUGUAGAAAAAGCUAGUCUAAAAUAGGAUAGAUAAACCCAACUCUCAGAGAGAACCAGAAAUGGGAGAAGGCUUGGUAGCAUUCCAGUCCCUGGUUCCACUUGUCCUUGAGGCUCGACCACAUUCUUGCCCUUCCUGCUACUCUGUAAGCAUUUUGAUAAAUUUCCCUUGCCUCUAAACACUUUAUAUUUUCACAAACUUUAUGAGUUUGUCCAACUGUCUUUUUUUCUGAACACUUUUGCUAGCAUCAGUUGUUACACAGUUUAGUAGAUUCCACUUCAGAUUACGCUGAAUUUGAGUUUUCUCGACUUUGAAAAUAUUCUUGACUGCAGUUUUACUCAGACCAUUCAUAGAGGCUAUGAAUUCAUGUUAUUCACUUCAAAGUCAGUAUUAAAUUAUCAAAUAAACAUCAACAACUGAAUAGUGUUUGGUAACAACUGUCAACUCAUCAAGAGCCAAAGAAAAACACUAGAAAUUAUUUUCCUUCUUUCUUAAUUUAUCCAAAAUUGACUCCCAACAUCCUCAACUUAUUAAGCAACUGUUCUCACAGAAAGAUUAAUAAUCUAAACAAGUUUACUUUCUUUGUACAUCUUUUUUUUGCUGUUAUUGUUGCUACAAUUGAAUAAAAUAUAAUUAACUUGCACCUGGUAAAUGGCUUUUCUUGCUUGACUAAAAACCAAACUACUUGGAAACUUACUUUGGUUGAAGAUUCAUUUCAGACUUUUGUGGGAAAAAUCUACUGAGAUAUUUUGUUUUGAAGUUUCAAAUUUUUCUGACUCAGGGAGUAUUGUACAUCAAAGAUAGUGUGGCAAUUAUUUAGUCUGGUACUGUAGACCUAUGUUGUAUUCUUCUAAAGUAGCAAUGACAUAAUAACAUGUAUAAAACACAAUGCUUACAAUUGAUUUAGAUAACAAAAUAAUCUACUUUCCAUUCUAUUUUUAAAAUGUGAUAUUCAAAAUCUGUUUUUCUCUUCAUUUUCUUGUUUGUUUUAUUUUGGCAAGAUGCGUAUGCAAUAACAAUAAAAAAAUAAGAUAAAACGCAGUGGUAUGUGCUGAAUGUGUCCUCUAAAGAGCAUGUAUUGAAAUUUCAAUUCUUAAUGCAUUGUGUUGGGAGAUGGGGCUUAAUGAGAGAUGAUUAGGCCAGGGGGGUGAAGUGAAUGAAGUAAUAUUAUUAUCAUGAGAGUAGGUUUGAUAUAAAAGAUCAACCCCUUUCUCUCUGUUGUGCCCACCUUUGCCCUUAGCCGUGAGAUGACACAACAAGAAGGCCUUCACACAAUGCCAGCCCCUUGAUCUUGGCCUAAGUCUCCAGAAACAUGUGCUAAUAAAUUCAUGCUC
rnacentral:lncRNA from 1 species